GACGAACGCUGGCGGCGUGCUUAACACAUGCAAGUCGAACGGGCCUUGUCCCCUUUUUUUUUGGGGGUGGGGUUAGUGGCGAACGGGUGAGUAACACGUGAGUGACCUGCCCCUCACUUCUGGAUAACCGCUUGAAAGGGUGGCUAAUACGGGGUGUUCUGGCCUGCUCGCAUGGGUGGGUUUGGAAAGAUUCGACCGGUUUUGGUUGUUUUGGUGGGGGAUGGGCUCGCGGCCUAUCAGCUUGUUGGUGGGGUGAUGGCCUGCCAAGGCUUUGACGGGUAGCCGGCCUGAGAGGGUGGGCGGUCACACUGGGACUGAGACACGGCCCAGACUCCUACGGGAGGCAGCAGUGGGGAAUAUUGCACAAUGGGCGCAAGCCUGAUGCAGCGACGCCGCGUGAGGGAUGGAGGCCUUCGGGUUGUGAACCUCUUUCGCCAGUGAAGAAGGUCCUGCUCUUUGUGGUGGGGUUGACGGUAGCUGGGUUAAUGAAGCGCCGGCUAACUACGUG
rnacentral:rRNA from 1 species